GAUGAAGAACGUAGCGAAAUGCGAUAAGUAAUGUGAAUUGCAGAAUUCAGUGAAUCAUCGAAUCUUUGAACGCACAUUGCGCCCGCCAGCACUCUGGCGGGCAUGCCUGUUCGAGCGUCACUUCAACCAUCAAGCCCCCAGGGGCUUGUGCUGGGGCCCUGCGGCUGCCCGCAGGCCCUGAAAACCAGUGGCGGGCUCGCUAGUCACACCGAGCGCAGUAGCACAUCUCGCUCAGGGCGUGCGGCGGGCUCCUGCCGUGAAACCCCCCACUGUAACCCCAAAGGUUGACCUCGGAUCAGGUAGGAAUACCCGCUGAACUUAAGCAUAUCAAUAAGCGGAGGA
rnacentral:misc_RNA from 1 species